GCAGCGCCUUCUCCCCCAUCCUACCCCGCCCCCGGGGAGUGCGCACCCGGUAGCUCGGAGGGAGACGCUGCUUAGAACUUCUUGAAACACAGAGCCCCGCAGCCGGGAUGGGUGCUCCGAAGUUGAACCCGCUUACAGGGAGGUGCGACCCAGCUCAGAGCGAAACGUGCGGGGGGCCAUCUCCAAACCCGAGAAGAGAACCUCUUUAGGAAGGGGGAGGGGGUGGAAGCAAGGACAGAGAAGAAAUAAAAGAAAAAAAAAUCUUAAGGAUCAAAGAGCAACCUGGAGGGAAACGGGGGUUUUUCUCUUUGCUUUCUCUUCCUGCUGACUUGGGCCCCUGGAAGAGACAGGAGCGUGCCCAAGUGCCUGCAAUUGUUUCCAAAAACAAAAAACAAAACCAUGCUCUUCUCUUCGCCCACUCUGUGGCACAGCCAAAGCUGAUCACAAAGAGAGAGAGAGAGAGAGAGAGAGAGAGAGAGAGAGAAAGUGGGACACGGGCUUCGAAGGAGGGAAGCGAAAGAUGCUUCCUCUCCGUCUGCUCCCCCGCGUUCUUCGCGCGAAUUCGAGGGGCGGGCGCUGCACUGGGGAAAGUUUGUCCCACCCGCAUUUCGCAGCUGGCUGCCCCGGGAACAGGGUCGAGCUCCGAGCCUGCGGUCGCAGGAAUGACUGAGCCGGCGCCGCGCUUACCUCGCAGUCUUCGUACUUGAUAUUAUCCGUCAGUUUCCAAAGCAUUUUCAUGGAUCGGCGUGAAUGGAUCUGCCCCUCUCCGCCCGGCAGCCAAGUGGAGCUACUCUCUGGCGCUUUACCAACAGCCUAAUCGCCUCAUUAGCAUAUCAACAAUAGUCCAAUUGCUCGCCAGUACCACAGUCCGCCGCCGGCUGCUCCGACCCAGGAAACUAGAAGCAACUGACAGUUCAGCUUGGGUUCUGGGCUAAGGUUUCCUGGGUACGACGUGGGCCAGAAGACCGAGCUGUGGAGAGGCACAGCGCUUCUGGAGUGGAGCCCAAUUACAGGCUCGCAUGCGCCUGCAAGUCUACAUACCGCGUCAUGCACGCAUCAAAAUAAA